CAGCAUGACGUUCUGCAAAAUCAAGCCUUCCCGCCUUAUGUCGCUCCAUCAAGAGCUCCUUCGUCGCUGGUAUUCUGUGAUGAAUCCUAGCAGUGUGAAGUCUGCGUCGUACUGUCAUCGAAGACACUUCUAAUCCAAGUUCGAAGACCUCCACCACGAAUGACCACCCGUUAGGAUAACGACGACAUUCGACGAGCAGCAGAAGAAGACCCUUUUACCAAUACUAUUGCUAUUCGUGAACGUCUGGCAUUAAAUGUCUCGGCUAUGACGGUGCGAAGACGUCUGCAUGAGGCAGGAAUACCGCAUAGAAUUCCUGCCAAGAAGGAAUUUCUCACCGAACGGCAUCGUGCUGAUAGGCUUGCCUUUGUUCAACAGUUUGUGGGGGAGGAUAUGGAAUUUUGGUCUCGAGUUGUAUGCAGUGACGAAAGGUCUUUUACUAGCAGAAGUCACGGCAGAAUACAUAACCGAAGACCGAGUAAUAUAAGAUACUACAGAAGAAACAUUUACGAGGUGACCAGGAAUGGGCAUUUCAGAGUAAGCGUGUGGGGCUGGAUCUUCUUACAUUGUAUGGAUGAUAUCA